rnacentral:rRNA from 1 species
GAUGAACGCUGACAGAAUGCUUAACACAUGCAAGUCAACUUGAACUUCGGUUUGGGUGGCGGACGGGUGAGUCACGCGUAAAGAACUUGCCUCACAGAUAGGGACAACAUUUGGAAACGCAUGCUAAUACCUGAUAUUAUGAUUUUAGGGCAUCCUAGGAUUAUGAAAGCUAUAUGCGCUGUGAGAGAGCUUUGCGUCCCAUUAGCUAGUUGGAGAGGUAACGGCUCACCAAGGCGAUGAUGGGUAGCCGGCCUGAGAGGGUGAUCGGCCACAAGGGGACUGAGACACGGCCCUUACUCCUACGGGAGGCAGCAGUGGGGAAUAUUGGACAAUGGACCAAGAGUCUGAUCCAGCAAUUCUGUGUGCACGAUGAAGUUUUUCGGAAUGUAAAGUGCUUCCAGUUGGUAAGAAAAAAAUGACGGUACCAACAGAAGAAGUGACGGCUAAAUACGUG